rnacentral:rRNA from 1 species
GGAAGGGGUGUAUUUAUUAGAUCCAAAACCAGCGCAGGUCUCCCUCGGGAGCCUGGUUGCUCGGUGAUUCAUGAUAACUGCUCGAACCGUAUGGCCCUCGUGCCGACGGUGCUUCAUUCAAAUUUCUGCCCUAUCAACUUUCGAUGGUACGGUAGUGGCCUACCAUGGUUGCAACGGGUGACGGAGAAUUAGGGUUCGGUUCCGGAGAGGGAGCCUGAGAAACGGCUACCACAUCCAAGGAAGGCAGCAGGCGCGCAAAUUACCCAAUCCCGACACGGGGAGGUAGUGACAAUAAAUACUGAUACAGGGCUCUUUUGGGUCUUGUAAUUGGAAUGAGUACAAUUUAAAUCCCUUAACGAGGAACAAUUGGAGGGCAAGUCUGGUGCCAGCAGCCGCGGUAAUUCCAGCUCCAAUAGCGUAUAUUAAAGUUGUUGCAGUUAAAAAGCUCGUAGUUGAACCUUGGGCCUGGCUGGCCGGUCCGCCUCACCGCGUGUACUGGUCCGGCCGGGCCUUUCCUUCUGGGGAACCUCAUGCCCUUCACUGGGCGUGUUGGGGAACCAGGACUUUUAC